UGGAAGGUGCGGCUCCCGGGUGACUGGAGACCCUUCAGAAUGUGAGGGCUGCGUCAUGCCAGAUGUGCUGGGGCAGUCCUGUUCCCACGGUCAUGUGACCCGGGGUGGCACUGGUGCCGAUGAGGGUCACAGACGAGCGUCUCUGAGGGAAAGACUCCACUCUCUGGGCCAAGUCUGCAUCCCUGACUCUCGGGGGACAGUGCCUACACAGUUGGUCGACUGUCGGCAAGGAAAUCUGUGGCUGUCCAUCCUGUCACCUCCUCCCCACCAUCUUUCGCAUAUGGUCUCAUCUCUUGCUUGGGAGAGAAAUCCCUCAGCCUUUGCCUUGAGCCCUUCCGCAGCCCUCAUUUGGUUACUGCGAGGGCCGCCUCCCUUCCCCACUGCCCCACACCCCCGCUCCUAUCCUCUCCCACCGGUGUCUUUAGCUUUGACUGUGCUCCUGUCUCCUCCUUUCCCUCGUCCCUCGUCAGCUCUCUCUUCAGCUACGUCUUGACAGAGCGAGGGUCUGUGAUCUUCUGCGCGGUUUCCUUUCCUUGCGUCUACUCCUCCACCUUCUGCCACCAGUGAAGGUCAUCGGGGCUCACUGUGGCAUACCGUUAAUAGGCCUCCUUCCCUUACCCCAGGCCUCACCCUGGACGGCUUUUCCACACCCGUGGCUGCGGUUAACUAGGCGCUCACUGCUGAGCUGAUGUCUCUAGCUCAGAUUUGCCCUCGGAGCCCCAGAUACAGCUGUCUAGUCAGCGCACUCGGCGCAUCUCACUGCCGCGUGUUCAAACCUAGACUUCCCUUUCUUGUUCUGCCCCCACUCUCCUCUCUGGGCCUUGUCCGGAGCUAUUUAGUUUGGCAGAUGGUACCACCGCCCAUCUACCUUUCUUUGUGGUCAGAGAAUUAGUAUGGAUGAAAGAGUAUUUUUUUUAAAGGAGUUGGAAAGCUUAAGAAAUUAUAUCAAGCUCUUCUUUCACAAGAAAAAUGCUUGCAUUUGCCUUUUUUUUUUUUUUAAAGAAAUGAUCAGUUCUGGUACAUGUUGCUAUUAAAAUUUAAGGAAGUGCAUGGUUUCUUUGGCAAGAACAUGGGCUGAAUUGAAUUAAAAUGGUAUAACUUGUAAGUAUAAUUUUCUAAUUUUCAUUCUGAAAUGGUUUGGUCGAAAUCACACAGCAAUCUAGCUAUUCAUCUGCCUCUACCCUCAACCUCCAUUAAUUUUUGAGUCUCCUACUAUUUGCCAUGAUUGGUUUACUUAAGGUCACAAAGGAGAAUUUGUUUCUGAUAGGAAAGGUGUUAUAAGUUAGGAGUGUACAUCUUUGUGAGCCAGAGAGGGGCAGUUUUUAAGCAUUCUGAAGCAAAAUGUCCAGAUGAAGAACUGAUUUUCUUUUAAGGUUUCAGUUUGGAGUCUAAUCAUCUUUAGCCUGGGGAAGCAUUUCUUAUUCUGGGGUACAUGAUUUCUAAUUUUCUCCCAUUAAUUUCCUUCCUGUUGCUUUCAGAUUUGUUUCUGUGAAGAAUUUGUGUGUGUGUGUAUGUGUGUGUGUGUGUGCGCGCCAAAGAUAUUACCAAGCAUUUUUGCUGCAGGUGAGUAUCAGUGGGAUGGAAUGAUACUAUGCAUGGUCCGGAAGUCACCAAUGCAGUGACCUUCAUGUCACAGAACCAGUUUUGUUCCCCAUUGAUAGGCACUAAAGCAGGCCUGUCCUGCCACAUGACCAUGGACAUCUGUCUCUCCUUAUACUGGAAAAUGCUAAAGACAGCAAAGUACAGUGGCACUCCGGCACUUUAAUUUUACUUUCAUCGCUGAAUUUGGUGAGACACAAAACCCCUAUGUCAGUGGUACGGCAAAGGCCUUGUUCAUGGAAGUGCAGCAUCAUGAAAAGCUCUGGUGUGCCCAGCAGCAGUGUGCAGCUGCACGACAGGACAGAGCUCCAAAGGCUCAGCGAGGUUGUGUAGCAUAUGGCCAGGCCGGAGAAGCCACGGCUCAGUGGGAGGCUGGUGGGGAAGUUUUAUUUCUGGGAAGUGGUCAGGUUGGUUUUGUGGCUGGGUAUAGAAGAAAAGAACUAAAGCAGUGUCAACAUGGCACGAGACGCUCAAGGUGGCCGACGUUCCUUCUAAUAUUUGAAAGCAGAUUUUGGCAGGACAAGUCCCUUCAGCCUGCAGCUGGGUGAGCCCAUUGGCAUUUUCAUUACAAGCACCUGAUGCUUUUCAUUCCUUGUGUGUGUAAGUGAUUUCAAGGAAUUCGUGUUUUGUGAUCUCUUUUUGAAAAGUAUAGUGGCCAUGAAUAUCUUUGAAAUGUAGAAUUGUGAUGGUAAACAAAAAACAGCUCUUGAUCCCCUGAAAGAAGGAGGGUCUGGACGUGAGGCAGCGGAUUUGGCUUUGCUGCUUUGGUGAAAAGUCCCCUGUGUCAUGAGCACUUGUAGCUUUCUGUGUCCCCCGCCCCGUUUGUCAGGCCUGCCAGCCAGUAAUCCCCAAAAACCAUUUGAUGCACUGACGGCAUGCAAAGGUGUCGGUUUGGCCAGGCCCAGGACCAUGACUUAUACUCCUUUACCUUUUUAAGAGAUCUUGACCAAAAAAAAAAAAAAAAAAAAAAAAAAAAAAAAAAAAAAAAAAAAAAAAAAAAAGGAGCAGACUGUGGAAUGCAUUCGGUUAGCACUGAGGAAAUGUAAGAGGAGUGUGUGUGAGAACACGCGUGUGUGUUUUCAGCAAGGGAACAUCCUGUUUUCGUGGGGAGGAGCUUACCGCCGGGUUGGUGUAGCUCCUAGUCCGUCACCUGGCCCUUCGAGUGAGCGAGGUCCGUCUUUCAGUUCAAGGCUUUGCUGUCCCCGUAACGGAUGCUGCUGAGAAACUAGCAGCGCCUUUGCCCGCUGGCUGUCCUGGACGCGCUGCCGGGCACCGCUCGCCAAGGGCAGCGGGCCGCCGGCGGCCGUGAUGCAGCCGUGGCAGACUCCGUGCGCACAGAAGCCGGAUGGUACAAAACAGAAAAGAGAGCGGAAGAAGACCGUCUCGUUCAGUAGCAUGCCCACAGAGAAGAAGAUCAGCAGUGCAAGUGAUUGCAUCAAUUCGAUGGUCGAGGGUUCAGAACUCAAAAAGGUUCGCUCCAACUCCAGGAUUUACCAUAGGUAUUUUUUACUGGAUGCUGACAUGCAGAGCCUGAGGUGGGAACCAUCUAAGAAAGAUUCUGAGAAAGCCAAGAUUGAUAUUAAAUCCAUCAAGGAAGUGAGAACAGGAAAAAAUACAGACAUAUUCCGCAGCAAUGGCAUUUCUGACCAGAUAUCUGAAGAUUGUGCGUUUUCAGUCAUAUACGGAGAGAAUUAUGAGUCACUUGAUUUGGUUGCCAACUCUGCAGAUGUUGCGAACAUCUGGGUUACGGGACUGCGGUACCUAAUUUCUUACGGAAAACAUACACUUGAUAUGUUAGAAAGUAGCCAAGACAACAUGAGGACUUCUUGGGUUUCACAAAUGUUUAGUGAAAUUGAUGUAGAUAACCUUGGACAUAUAACUCUGUGUAAUGCUGUGCAGUGUAUCAGAGACCUCAAUCCUGGUUUAAAAACUAGCAAAAUUGAGCUUAAGUUCAAAGAAUUGCACAAAUCCAAGGACAAAGCUGGUACUGAAGUCACAAAGGAAGAAUUUGUUGAGGUUUUCCAUGAGCUUUGUACCAGACCUGAAAUUUAUUUCCUUUUAGUUCAGUUUUCAAGCAAUAAAGAAUUUCUUGAUACCAAGGACCUUAUGAUGUUUCUUGAGGCAGAGCAGGGUGUGGCACAUAUAAAUGAGGAAAUAAGCCUUGAAAUUAUUAAUAAAUAUGAGCCAUCCAAAGAAGGUCAGGAAAAGGGCUGGCUUUCCAUAGAUGGGUUUACUAAGUACCUUAUGUCCCCCGACUGUUAUAUAUUUGAUCCAGAACAUAAGAAGGUCUGUCAAGAUAUGAAGCAACCUUUGUCUCAUUAUUUUAUAAACUCAUCUCAUAAUACAUACUUAAUAGAGGAUCAGUUCCGAGGUCCCUCUGACAUCACGGGAUACAUCCGAGCUCUUAAAAUGGGUUGCCGGAGUGUUGAGUUAGAUGUAUGGGAUGGGCCAGAUAAUGAACCUGUAAUUUACACGGGCCACACCAUGACCUCUCAGAUAGUCUUCCGCAGCGUCAUUGAUAUUAUUAACAAGUAUGCGUUCUUUGCUUCGGAGUAUCCUCUUAUCUUGUGUUUAGAAAAUCACUGUUCUAUUAAACAGCAGAAGGUAAUGGUUCAGCACAUGAAGAAAAUUUUAGGGGACAAGCUCUAUACAACGUCACCCAACAUGGAGGAAUCUUACCUACCAUCCCCAGAUGUCCUAAAAGGGAGGAUACUCAUUAAAGCCAAGAAGCUGUCCUCAAGUUGCUCUGGCGUAGAAGGGGAUGUUACGGACGAAGACGAAGGGGCAGAAAUGUCUCAGAGGAUAGGCAAAGAGAACGUGGAACAGCCCAACAACGUGCCUGUGAAGCGAUUUCAGCUCUGUAAAGAACUGUCUGAACUCGUGAGCAUCUGUAAGUCUGUUCAGUUCAAAGAAUUUCAGGUAUCAUUUCAGGCUCAGAAGUACUGGGAAGUCUGUUCGUUUAAUGAAGUGCUGGCCAGCAAAUACGCCAAUGAAAAUCCAGGGGACUUUGUAAAUUACAACAAACGUUUUCUCGCCAGGGUCUUCCCCAGCCCAAUGAGAAUUGACUCCAGUAACAUGAACCCUCAAGAUUUUUGGAAGUGUGGUUGUCAGAUCGUAGCCAUGAACUUUCAGACCCCAGGCCUGAUGAUGGACCUGAAUAUUGGCUGGUUUAGGCAGAACGGAAACUGCGGCUACGUCCUUCGGCCGGCCAUCAUGAGAGAGGAAGUGUCUUUCUUCAGCGCCAACACGAAAGACUCCGUCCCAGGAGUCUCACCGCAGCUUCUUCACAUUAAAAUCAUCAGCGGGCAGAACUUUCCCAAACCCAAAGGAUCAGGUGCCAAAGGAGAUGUGGUGGAUCCUUACGUCUAUGUGGAGAUUCACGGAAUCCCUGCCGACUGUGCAGAACAAAGGACAAAAACCGUGCACCAGAACGGAGAUGCUCCCAUUUUUGAUGAAAGCUUCGAAUUUCAAAUCAACCUACCUGAACUGGCCAUGGUGCGCUUUGUAGUACUAGAUGAUGACUACAUCGGGGAUGAGUUCAUCGGCCAGUACACAAUCCCCUUUGAAUGCUUACAGACAGGCUACCGCCACGUCCCCCUGCAGUCAUUGACUGGAGAGGUCCUGGCGCACGCUUCUUUGUUUGUCCACGUGGCUAUUACUAACCGAAGAGGAGGAGGGAAGCCUCAUAAAAGGGGCCUUUCCGUGAGAAAAGGGAAGAAAUCCAGGGAGUAUGCAUCUUUAAGAACACUGUGGAUUAAAACUGUGGAUGAGGUGUUCAAGAAUGCCCAGCCGCCUAUCCGGGAUGCCACAGACCUGAGAGAGAACAUGCAGAAUGCCGUGGUAUCAUUCAAGGAGCUGUGUGGCCUCUCCUCCGUGGCCAAUCUCAUGCAGUGCAUGUUGGCGGUGUCUCCCCGCUUCCUGGGACCUGAUAACAUGCCCCUGGUGGUCCUGAAUCUGAGCGAGCAGUAUCCCACGAUGGAGUUGCAGGGAAUCGUGCCCGAGGUUCUGAAGAAGAUUGUAACAACUUACGACAUGGUACCUCUUUCCCCCGCCGCUGCAUCGGAGCUCCAGGACGGCAGGGACAGUGUGUGCCCUGCUCACCACCAUGUCUCUGCCACAGAGGAGUUUCCAGAGGCUAGACCUGCAGCUCCUGAAGCUUUGAGACCUUUGCGUGUGUGUUUAGCCUCACUCCAGACUUCAGAGCUGCAGCCUUCGCUGGAUGGAGAGCGUGGCUGCUCCAGUUCAGAAAGGCUGGUUUAAAAUUACGAAGUGAAAAGCAGAAGAUAAGGUUUCCCACCACCUUAACAGAUGAUCCAGUCCCUCAAGGCUGUCAUCGAAAAUGCAGAUGCGGUGUAUGAAAAGAUUGUACAUUGUCAGAGGGCAGCCAUGGAAUUCCACGAGCACUUACACAGCAUCGGCACC